rnacentral:lncRNA from 1 species
CUCCGUCGCUCGCCCUGCCUGGUCCCCUGCUGGCCUGCUGCUCUGGUGCGUGCCGGCUAGCUCUCCUGCCUCUGCUCCGGUCUGGCCUCUCCUUGCUCCUGCUCUGCUCCGGCCCACGCCCAGCAGGACUGACAGGACUGACCGACUGAGGACUAACGCCCAGGAUUGGUAUUUGGUAAUGCCUGCUGUUGAUAAUGUUUUUGAAGAUUCAACAUUCAAUUGCACUUGAAUUGCUGCUGCUUAUUUCUUAUUUGAAUGUUCCAUAGAGAUGUCAAACAUUGCAUUCCGUAGAGAUGUUCCACGCUUGCAGAAGCUACUGUUAAUUCCGUAGUACAUGAUGUUGUAAACCUGAAUGAACCAAUCGGAUUGCUGCUGUGCUUAUUUGAAUGUGAAUAUUGUUGUUGCUAUGGUUGGUUGAAGAAUAAGAUGGGUGAUGAUUGGAUGAACUAUUCCAUGGUGUGCAAUAUUGAGGGAGAAAUAUUUGCAAAGGUUGAUGAUGAUGCUAUUAUAUAUCGCUUUCAAUCCUAUAGAUCUCACAAAGGAAUUUUACCUCGUCGUAGUAGUACGUUUUCAACUCUGUGUAAUGUUAAUUGUUUCACUUGAUGUUUAUGUCUUCUCUUAUGAAAUUUUGCUUUUCAUUUCUCUAAGGUGUUGGCUCUUCUUCCACCGUUGAUCAAGUUAUGGAAGACACUAAUGAAGCAAGCAAUUGAUUUGGUACUCUUUUACUGCACGCACUAUUCAUAGUUUUUGUCAUCUUUUUUUAUCUAUUUUGUUGUAUCUUUAAGCAUUGAGAUUAAAUUCUAAAUUUUUGUGCAAUUGAGCCAUAUUUGAGGUAGCUAUAGAUUGAUGGAGGUUAAGUUUUUCUCUCGUGACAAAAAAUUUUUUGGGCCCGCGGCUUGCUCCAAUCAUGGAUCCGCCACUGUGCUCCACACAACACACCCUAGCUCUGACGGACAAAAAUUGAAAGUAAC